ACCAGCCGGUUUCUCCCGAUGGAAGGCGCCCAAAGACACCGAAAGCCUCGCGAGCCCUUCCUCUCCGCCGCAGCCCGCCGCCUCCCAGCCUCCCAGCCUCCAACAACGGGUGAUGAAUUCAAAGAGAUCCAUAACCCAAAAAAAAACAUGCACAUAUGAGGCAGAAUUUUAGGUAUUAAAGUUGAUUUUUUGAUGAACCCCCUGAUCUCGGUGGUAGUUCUUGGAAUUUUGAGGCUGAGAGUCUGAUCCCAGUAGAGCCUCGUUGACCGUUAGGCUCUAGGACAUGUGAUGGUUGCCUAUUUGUCUGUAGGGCUCUUGGACAUGGGAUUGGAUGAAUUGGUCUGUUCCUCUUGGCUCUUCCCAAGAAGACAGAACCUUCAAGAUCUUUUCUAUGGAAGAAGCCCUACUGUUGUUCUUUGGAGCUGUAGGCUGGUGAGUGUAUUCAGAGGUUUCACUCAGCAAAAGCUUCGGAGAAGAGCAUCAAAUGAGUCAAAAAAAUAUCUAAACAUUUGCAGCGGUUGUUGCAAGGAUAACCAUCUCUCAACAGAUAAUGAUUUUAUUCCUCAAUAAAGUUGUGAAUUUUUCAGACAGCAUCAAGAUUUUAAUCUAGCUACUGUAAACAGGCCGAAGAGGUUGCUGUAGCCUUGAAGCUGCUAUAUGAUUUGAUCCAGGAGCAAAGGAAUUUGCUGGUUUCAACUUUUGGGGAGAGCAAAUAGAGGCAAAAUCGGCUCUGUAGUUAAACUAAGCUUAGUUUUAAUCAGUGUGUAUGUUAAUUGUCUGCUUGAGGCUUAUGUAUAAAUAACUUAAAUAUUAUAAGUUUUGAGUUGUAAAUUCGGAAGAAGAACCUUAUUUGUAACUUUUGGUGGUUUGUAUGAAUAUAUAUGAUAUUUUGUUUGAUAGUCUAGUUGUUUA